CACCCAUCAUCCAGCACUCACACACCCAUCAUCCAGCACUCACUCACACACCCAUCAUCCAGCGCACACACACACACACACACACACACACCAUCCAGCACUCACUCACCCAUCAUCCAGCACUCACUCACACACCCAUCAUCCAGCACUCACUCUCACACCCAUCAUCCAGCACUCACUCUCACACCCAUCAUCCAGCACUCUCACACCCAUCAUCCAGCACUCUCACACCCAUCAUCCAGCACUCACACACCCAUCAUCCAGCACUCUCACACACAUCAUCCAGCACUCUCACACACAUCAUCCAGCACUCUCACACACAUCAUCCAGCACACACACCCAUCAUCCAGCACUCGCACACACCAUCCAGCGCUCACACACACGUCAACCAGCGUGCACACACACAUCAUCCUGCACACGCACACACUGCAUUCAUUAUACACACUUCACUCACUACAAACACACUACAUUCACUAUACACCCUCUGCAUUCACUAUACACACUCUGCAUUUAUUAUGCACAUUCUGCACUCACUACACACUACAUUCACUAUGCAUUCACUACAAACACACUACAUACACUGCAUUCAUUGUACACACUCUGCACUCACUACAAACACACUAAAUUCAUUAUACACAAUUUGCACUUACUACAAACACACUACAUUCAUUAUACACACUCUGCACUCACUACAAACACACUAAAUUCAUUAUACACAAUUUGCACUUACUACAAACACACUACAUUCAUUAUACACACUCUGCACUCACUACAAACACACUACAUUCUCUAUACACACUCUGCAUUCAUUAUACACACUCUGCACUCACUACAAAAACACUACAUUCACUAUACACACUGCAUUCACUACAAACACACUACAUUUAUAUUACACACUGCACUCACUACAAACACACUACAUUCAUUAUACACCCUCUGCACUCACUACAAACACACUACAUUCACUAUACACACUCUGCAUUCAUUAUACACACUCUGCACUCACUACAAAAACACUACAUUCACUAUACACACUGCAUUCACUACAAACACACUACAUUUAUUAUACACACUGCACUCA